UGAAUGAAAACAACAACUAAACUAAGGAGAGCAGCAGGAAGAAGUUGGGAUUCUCACAUAAUGAUACAUAGUACUCGUGAUUUUGUUCCUGCCUGUUGCUGAAACGCUAUUUAUUUUAUUUUUUUAUUCAUUUAUUUUUUUCUGCGUUCCUAACUU
rnacentral:ribozyme from 14 species